CGCUGAGCCAGGCCCGGCCAGGCCCGGCCUCCGCCCGCCUCUUACCGCCCGGGGCCGGGUCGGGCCGGGCCGCCCCUCAGCUCCGCUCCGCGGGUUCGUGGCCCGAAGCGCGGCCCUGGGCCAAGGGUACGCGCAUGGCCGCGGCCCAGCCCGCGUGAUAAACCCGCGGCUCUCCUGGCCUUGGUUUAAUCGCAUAGUGAUGACGGUGUUAAUGAGCUGCGGCUUUGCCCCUCCCGCGCUGCAGGACGGGCCCGCACACAGGCUGCACACAGGCUUCGUGUCGCCGCAGCCGCGCAGCAGAAGGGCUGUUCUAGAACCUCAGAAACAUCUCAUAGGCCAUAAGGACGAGUUGUUUUUUCAAAGGAAACAGCUAUCAAAGGAACAGAAGAGGUUCCAAAGAAACGCAAGGAAAACUUCUUCCCUGUUGAGUAAACAGCGAUCCCGCCCAGGAGAGGUGAACAGUCAGUGUGGGUUGUGCAGCCUCACGCUGGGGUCACCAUGGCCACACCAGCGUCCCUGUGCGUGCAGCUCUGGGGCUGCCCCAGCCCCCACCCCUAGGCUUACCUCUGCUCCGGUGCCCACGGCCACUGGGGUUCCUGGCUUCUCUCCUGCUCCAGACGCUCAGCCUGCAGCUCAAACUUCUGUGCCAGCGUCUGCAAGCUCGAAUCCAGCUCUGUGAACUGUGCCUCCAAAGACUGCAGCUUGGUUUCUACUCUGAGGGAUGAAAACAAGGGUGUUUCAGAAGGACCUGGGUAUCAAGCAGUGGCACUUUCCACCUGACGGUGACAUUGCUCUGUGAACAGCUCCAGACCUUGUCCUGUCACCUGGCAGCAGAGACAGACCCCCCUGCCAGGCGCAGCCCCCUGUCAGGGAGUGUCAGAGAGGGCUCCUGUCUCCCCUCAGCCUCCUCCAGGCUCAACACUCCCAUUCCCUCAGCCCCUCCCCAGCACCCUUAUGCUCCAGCCGCUUCCCCAGCUCUGUGCCCAGCUCUGGCCAUGCUGCAGCCCCUCAGUGUCUGUGUGGCCCAGUGAGUGAGGGGCCCAGCACUGAACACAGCCCUGGAGCUGCAGCCUCCCCAGGGCCAUAUCUAAUAUUCUACAGCUUUUUGUAUGUUCUGAGAGAAUGAGAAUUCCAGACCCUUUCUGGAGAGCUGUGCUCAGGACUGAGCCUGGACGGGAUGGUUUGCCCAGCUGGUCAGACACGCUGUGCCCGCCCUGCAGGAGAGCUCGCUGACCCAUGCCAGCGGGACAGCUUGGGAUGGAUUAUCUUACACGAAGCCAAUGAACCCGUCCGUCAGCUCGAGCGUUCCCCUUCUCCAGCAGGCUUUGAACAGGGAGGGUGAAUCAGCGUCACCUAUGUCCCAGUUCCUCAGCAACAGGGAAUUUCUUUAAACUCACAAGAAAGGUCUGUUCUUACAAGGGUUGAUUUCUAAUGAUAACCACCUGCCUCUUGCCCUUGACCCCCUCCAGAGUCAGAGGUAUUUUUUCCACAUUCAGAAUCUCCCAUUUACCCCAGCAGUGGGGCAGGAACCUGAAUCUCCCACUAUUGCCACCUCCCACAGCCACGGGCCCUUGCUGGCAGAGCAGCCAGCGCUGCCAGGGACUCGUUGCGGAGAGGCUGCAGCUUGUGGGUCUAUCCCCCCUUCCCUCCCCACAGACUGCUGACAGCUUUCCCCUGCACACACAACGUCUACUGACAUCCCGUUCCCCAGGAACACUUCCAAGGAAUCACUAACAGGUCACGUCUCCCCUCCUCUGCCCCAGUCCCCUCCAGCCCCGUCCUGCCCGCAGUGCCAGCGCCGACAACCUGUUGAGCGACUCGCUGAGGGCGCGCAGGGAGAUGCUGGCUUUAGCCAUCUUCCCGCAGAAGGGCGGCUGGAUCCUCUCUCCCAAAGUAAGCAGCCGCCACCAGGACAGGGGAUCCGACUCCUUGUAUGCAUCAAGGCUUUUUAUAGCUUGUACAUCCAAAUAUAGGCGGUGGGUGCAUGACAUGUGCUCACGGACACACCGUGUGCUGACCCGGGCUGUCCUGCUACAGAAGCUCCUGCAGAGGUGAUACUCUGCUGCUUUUCUGAUGUGUGUUGCCUUCGUUUUGCCGUCGCACCUGCCCGCUCGUGCCUUGGGCCAAGGCCUCCUGCUGCUAAGGGCUGCACAAGCAGAUGGCUCGGCUUUGUUUUAUAAAAUCAGGUAGGAUGGUAAGAUCAGCUUUGGGUGAGGAUGAGUUGCAUUUGGUUGUGGAGCUGCUUUGAACAAAUCCAAGAUGGUUGGAACCCCUUCCCUAAAGGACAGACAGCAGACCCGGGAUUUUCAGGAGCUGCAUUUGUGAAAGAAGAGCUGGAAAUUUUGCCACCAAAAAGCAAACAGAAGGCAUCAGAUAAUGUGUGGGUGGGAACAGCCUGGCUGGUGAAACCAGCAAAGGCCAGUGUUUCCAAAGCUCUGGGAAGGCAGUUGGAAAGGUUUGGGUGAGCAGGAUCUGUGCCUUCGGUCCUGCACACUCCCCCUGUCACAGGGCAUACCAUACACUUCUUGACACUCUUCUAGGCCUGCUGGUAUUAGGGUAAGUGAUAUUAGGGUACAGAACACAAGGGAGCAAGUGAGAGAGAAAGCAUUUAUUAAGACAAGUUCUUUUUCCCUGGGAUAAAAAAGUAAAUGCAUAAGAGAGCUGGCCCAUUACACAGAUGUUAAUGUUUCCCACUGCUCCUCUGUUUGCUGCAGCAUGAAAAGAUCCAACCGGAUUGAAAUUGGGACUGAAACUGCUCAUCAGCUGGUGCCUCUCUAGUCUGAUACGCAGCUGCUGACUAACUCAUGACAAACUUAUGUCCCCCACAGCCAAUUUAAGGUGACUGUGACCCAGUUUAAUGGGUAGAGUGAGGUAAUGCACUGCAAUAGAUCACAGCACGAGGAGCUCAGCCAGUGGCAUCCCUGUUACUGCACAGUGUCCUCACGGAGCACUGUGGGAGGCCCCGCCAGUGUCAAUUUCCUCCUCCAAUCUUCCUUAGUUCAGCUUAGUCAUCAGUCAGCGUUACCUCCAAACUUACUGGAGAACUCGUUUCGCUUCAAGCAGCAAGCUGCCCACCCUGUGGGAGUGGCUGCCGGGCAGCACAGCGUGAGGCUGGUGGCACCGUGGGGAUGCAGCAAACCCUCCAACUUCCUGAGGACACCGCGAGUUCUGCCCGUCGCUUUUGGGUCAGCAGAUGUAACUGGGCUCAUUUCAGGCACUCCCAGAUGUAGGUUUCCCUGAAAAAGUCUUUGAAUGCCUCCAUGUCUAAUGUUCUGGCAGCAGAUACACGGAUACAGAACUGCUCUGGUCAGCAACUAGCACUCUCUUGGAGCCUUUGAUCUCCGCACAUGAGAUCCAGUUCACCUUCUCACCAUGCUCAAUGGUCAGCUUUGGUAAAACCCCAGUGUGUUCACCUGAAGCCACGUUGCUGAGCUUCCCAUCUUUCCUGCUGGAAGCCUUCCUUCUCUGCAGGGAUUUUACCGGGCUCCUCUGCUGCUUUCCGAGGUCACUGCUGACAUCCCAGAGUAAGACUUUCCCGUCGUUGCCCCCACUCAGCAGCCGGUACACUCCCGGCAGGAACAGCACCUGUGACACUCCCAAGCUGUGACCCUGGAACUCCAGCUCGCGUUCAAACCUGGCACCCGUGACCCUGAACACUCGGACUCUCCCGUCCUGAGCUCCGCAGCCAAAGACGUUGCCGCACGACGCGACCGAGAGGCAAUGUGCAAGCGGUGGGUUAAAGAACUGGCCAGCCGACUGCAGGCUGUCCCCUGCUUCACACUCCUGCAGGUUUGUGGCCCACAAGGGGCGAGCUUUCUGCAGGUUCCACAGCAUAACCUUGGGGAAAAAAAAGCAUGGAUGGAUCAAUAAUGUAUCUGUUCUAUGCAAGAUCAGAUCUUCCCCUCACAGCACAAAGACAAGCCCACUUCUUGCUCCAGCACAGCCGAGGCUGUGCCUGAGUUUGGCCUGCCUUCCAAACGCUCACGGUGCCCUCCUCAGCAAUGACUCACACCUCUGCACCACAAAAUAGAUCAACAAGCUCUUCCAAAUGCCUCUGCAUCCAUCUCAGCAGUAGUGACCAUUGCACACUGCCCAUCAGUUACUGAAAGGGAGGGACAUGGAAACACAGAACAGCAUCAUUCUGGAUUUUACUCCUGUCUCUGCCACAUCUCUGCCCUAAAAUAAUCACUUCCAUGACCGUGUCUGAAAAGUGGGACAGCAAAAGGCAAAGUCAGUUCAAGCCCUCCUUUAUAAACAGAUAUGUAACUGUUUUUAUACCCCAGGAGUGGAUCUGGUUAGUGCUAUGACCUCUUGACCCCCGGGGGAGGUUGUGUUUGUCCUAAAGGGCUUUAGAUGCCCUUGGGUUUUGAGAACAUCAGGGUGAAACUGCUCAAUGCUGUCCAAGCCAACUUCAGUACUGCUAGAACCACAGAAACCUCUGCAAAAGUGACAGUUUUCAGCUGGGGCUGAAGCAGGUCAGACAUCAGCCACUGGAGAGAAACUACUGAAAAACAUUUGUUCUGGGGAGGCAACUUCAGCAGGCUCCAGUAACUCCUCAUAUGGUUCAGAACCCUUCCACAAUGGCUGCAAAGGACGUCCCUCCUGUUGAGGACGGUGAAGCGUAAAAGGCAAAGAACAGUUAAUGCCUCCAAGAGGACAAAUUACAAGAAUGACUUGUCCUUAGAGUGAUAUGCACCACUUGGAAAGACAUUUAUCUACCUGAGGUGAAGGAUUCUUGCUAUUAUCCAUCACUGCAAGCAUCUCACCUCUUCCUAACCAUCAUCUGCACUGUGCCUGCAGCUCGAACUGAUCCCUAGGGGCAGCUUCUGCCUUUGCUCAAGCUGACCUGGCAUCAGCCUCCUUUGCACCGUGUUCUCCUUCCCCACCUCGCUCACUUCCAGAUUGUAAAUAUUACAGAAGGUAAAAAUGGGGAGAGGAACUGCUGAGUGGAGAAUGGCACAGAGAGCCUCAACACUUCAGGCUCCCUGCCAAAACGGUUUUAGAGUAGCUAAGGAGCUCUGUGGGUGCCUGCAGGCGGUACACCCUCACUCUUGGUGAAAGUCAGCUGGUGCCUCCCUACACAGGCAGGCUGUCACCGUUUCGCUUCUCUAAUAACCAGCUACUGGUAUGCAAAUCACCUGCAUGUCCAGUCCACAGGAAACAAGGCUCUGAGGCCUCUGAGGUCGAAAGACAACAGAGGAGCAGAUGUUUGAGUGUCUCAAGGACCGGAUGACUUUCUUGUUUUCCAAGUCCAUAACCUUUAUUGCCCCCGAGUCAUCUGCUGCGGCCAAGAACUUGUCGGUCUCGUUCACCGAGAGGCAGUUGAUCUCCUCCUCGUUCACGUGGAAGCGUUCCACGGGCUCCUUGAGGGACCGGACGUCCAGCAGGCUGAUGGAUUCCCCAUGGGAGGCGUACAGCCGGGUGGGACAGAGAGGGGAGAACACCACGGACGCCACAUCGUCGGCCCCGGGGAGCUGGAGCUGUCCUGUGGGAGCACCGCUCCCAUCCCAGAGCGCCAGCUCGCCUCGCUCUGCACCCGACGCCACCAGCCCUUCUGCGUUCACAU